GGACACGUGGGCCGCAUGGCUGAUUCUCCGGCAGACGACGCAAGCACAGGAAGACCGUCACGAAGGGCUCUGACGACACGCUGUGCCUUACUCGUAUUCGUGGUCAUAGGUAGCCUGUUGUUCCUUGGAGGAAUGUUUUUCAAGUUCGUCUCUAGCUCCACAGAUGACAGAAACUUCAGCAUGCAGAGGCACAGCAACACUCGUGUCUGAGAGUAUUACUUGAUAGACAUCUCAUCAUCUGGUGAUUAAUACAGAUGAGCAGCAACACAGCGUCUGUGUUGGCGAGAGUGGUGUGGCUUCUGCUGCCGCACGGAUACGAUGCCAGGAAUCGCCAUCGCUACGCGGACAACGGCUGCCGCCAUCUUCUGCCCAUGUUCAUCUCCCGGCAGCAGUUUCCCUGCAAUGAGUGCAUGUGCGUCCAACACCAAAGCCAGCCUGUAUUCAGUGUGACGUUCCUAACCUUAAUACAGUGAGAAUCGCAGACGGCACCACAAGACUCGCAAUGGCUCAUGUUUCACCUCUCUAGGCAAUAUACUCGCUUAGGAUUCGAUGUGAAGAUAUUUGAAUUCUUGAGCAGUUUGCGGCAGUGCCAGCUGCUCGUCAACGAAGAACAUAUCUUGCAGAUCAGAGUUAACCCGUUAACGAAAAUAAUUCUGUAUCGAAUUCCGUCUUGUGAAGGCAAAAGCAGUUUUGAUUGAAUAUUUUCGGAAGCACUGACUCUGUUGGAACAACAAUGUUGUUAAGCCGUGGAAGGCAUCGUGUAUAAAAUGAGACCUCUUAACAGUACUAAUGCUCAGAGGAACUAUGUUCUUAUGUAAAAGAUUCCUUACUUUAUACUUUAUUGUAUUUAUACUUCUUCCUUAUGUUAUUUAUUGUUAUUAAUUUUAAAUUUAAUCGCCUAAUCGUUUUCAUCUAAGAUUUGAGUAUUAAGUAUUUUCUUGAGUAAUUUAAGGUACGCAUUAGUAUUUUAUAUAGUUACUCCUCGAUAUCUGUGUUCUACAAUCUCUCUUUCGCAAAACUGUCAUCCAAUGGGUCUGCAUCUACAUUUAUUCUGUUCAAACCAAUAUAAAGUGCAUGGUAGAGGGUACAUGUCAUUGUGCCACUUUUUAGGAUUAUAUCUCAUUCCAUCUGUGAAUGGAGUGCAGGAUCAGUAACUGCUUAAACGCAUAAUUGUGGUCGUUUCGGAACCGUUAGGUAUCGGGCUCUAAUAUUUUUGUGGAUUCCUUACUUUAUACUGUUCCUUGGAACUGGCAUUCGCUGGAUAGCUGACGUCUAUCUUCCAGCUUAUACCGCAACUGGUGUCUUAUUAUCUCUGUGCCGUAUUUUCAUGGGUCCAAAACGUGUGACCAUUUGCGCUGUCCUUAUUUGUAUAUGUUCAGCUAUUGCUGCCAGUCGUACUAUUUUUCUAGAAUCACAGUGUUAAUGGGUUGACCCGAGUACUGACCAUUGCCAGACAACCCCCCUGUCGAUAAAGCAACUCCGCAGAGGCCAUCACUUCCGUACUGCUGUUUCUGUAUGCCAAGAAACUGGAACAGUAACCAGCCUCGAAGACGAUUUUGCAGUUUAACACACUGUCAACAGACACACGACAAUCACCGACCCUGACCGAGACAUUUCCAAAAUGCCAAAAAAUGCAUUCCUUCCGCAAAGACAGCACCGAACAUUUGAGUUUAAACUCCUACCCUAUCAGUUGUCAUCAUUGGCCACCUGGGCAACAUAGCUGCACUCAGUCUGAAGUCUUCCCCUUAACAAUGUCGCAAUCACCACGGCUGGCACUGGGAUCCAAACCACGGACCACUGCCUAACUCUUCAGACCUCUGGCAGCCCUCGCUCUUCUUCCAUCUGAAGGAGAUUGGUCGCCAAUGUUAUUGCCGCCCCACCAUGGCCAAGGCGUGAACUGAAAAACGUACCAGCACUGUGCUGUCCCAGUCUUUCCGCCACACUCAGCCUCUCUCCAGCUUCCAGUGUUAAACACCAGGUAGCAUCGUGACCUGACACAAGUGAUAAGACGCCACUGCCUUUACAUGUACAGUACUGGGCCGCGACCAGGGCCUUGCCUGGCACUGUUGACUGAGCUCCCAGCGUGCUGGCGUCCUGACAGUGUGCGUUCGCUACAAUCUGUGAGCAGCCAUGCUUGCCGGUACAAGUCAGAAUGUUACGAGCCGAUACAAAACUGCGCCAAUGGUAAGAAAUGACUGACCAAGUUCAAUGAAUUACUAGGGGACUAUUUUACGUUCAUCAUCUUGUUUACCCACAGACAGGUCCACCGUCUGAAGUCCUAAACGAUGUAGCGUUUUGUUGAAAGUAGUGAAAAAUAAAUACUGUAUGCCCUUUUUCUUACGUAGAGGAGAUACUUUCAGUAAUUUGAACUUCGUUUCUUAGAUUAAGUUUCUUGCCAUAAGAUACACUGAAGAGCCAAAGGAAAUGGUACAGCUGCCUAAUACCGUGUAGGCCCCGCACGAGCACGCAGAAGUUCCGCGACACGACGUGGCAUGGACUCGACUAAUGCCUGAAGUAGUGCUGGUGGAAAGUGACACCAUGAAUCCUGCAGGGCUGUCCUUCAACCCGCAAGAUAACUAGGAGGUUGGGAUCUCUUCUGAACAGCACGUUGCAAGGCAUCUCAGAUAUGCUCCAUAAUGUUAAUGUCCGGAGAGUUUGAUGGCUAGCGGAAGUGUUUCAACU